CUUGUACUCCCUCCGUCCGAAAAUACUUGUCAUUGAAAUGGAUGUAUCUAGAUGUAUUUUAGUUCUAGACACAUCCAUUUUGAUGACAAGUAAUUUCGGACAGAGGGAGUACUUG
rnacentral:pre_miRNA from 1 species